rnacentral:rRNA from 1 species
CAGUCGCCGCGGUAAUACGGAGGGGGCUAGCGUUGUUCGGAAUUACUGGGCGUAAAGCGCACGUAGGCGGCUUUGUAAGUCAGAGGUGAAAGCCCGGGGCUCAACCCCGGAAUUGCCUUUGAGACUGCAUCGCUUGAAUCCAGGAGAGGUGAGUGGAAUUCCGAGUGUAGAGGUGAAAUUCGUAGAUAUUCGGAAGAACACCAGUGGCGAAGGCGGCUCACUGGACUGGUAUUGACGCUGAGGUGCGAAAGCGUGGGGAGCAAACAGGAUUAGAUACCCCUGUAGUCCCUGUCUCUUAUAC